rnacentral:rRNA from 1 species
AUGAUGAGGGACCUCUUCGGGGCCGGGAGCGAGACCUCGGCGUCGACGUUGCAGUGGGCCAUGGCGGAGCUGGUGCGGAAACCGGCGGCGCUCCGGAGGGCGCAGGCGGAGGUGCGCAGCGCGCUCGCCGGGCAGAGCCGCGCCCGGGAGGAGGCCUUGCAGGAGCUGCCGUACCUGCGGCUGGUGAUCAAGGAGACGCUCCGGCUGCACGCGGCAGUGCCGCUGCUCCUCCCGCGGGAGUGCCGCGAGCCCAGUCGCGUCCUCGGGUACGACGUGCCCCAGGGCACCAUGGUGCUGGUCAACGCGUGGGCCAUCGGCCGGGACGCGGCGAGCUGGGGGCCGGACGCCGAGGAGUUCCGGCCGGAGAGGUUCGAGGAGGAAUCCGCGGCGGCGGUGGACUUCAGAGGGACGGACUUCCAGCUUGUGCCGUUCGGGGCGGGGCGGAGGAUGUGCCCCGGGAUCACGUUCGGGCUCGCCGUCAUGGAGGUCGCGCUGGCGAGCCUCCUCUUCCAUUUCGACUGGGAGCUCCCCGGGGGGACGGAGGAGCUGGACAUGGCGGAGGCGUUCGGGAUCACGGCGAGGAGGAAGAGCGACCUGUGGCUGCAUGCCACCGUCGUCGUGCCACCUCUGUAA